AGAUUGAACGCUGGCGGCAGGCCUAACACAUGCAAGUCGAGCGGAAACGAGUUAUCUGAACCUUCGGGGAAGGAUAACGGCGUCGAGCGGCGGACGGGUGAGUAAUGCCUAGGAAAUUGCCCUGAUGUGGGGGAUAACCAUUGGAAACGAUGGCUAAUACCGCAUGAUGCCUACGGGCCAAAGAGGGGGACCUUCGGGCCUCUCGCGUCAGGAUAUGCCUAGGUGGGAUUAGCUAGUUGGUGAGGUAAGGGCUCACCAAGGCGACGAUCCCUAGCUGGUCUGAGAGGAUGAUCAGCCACACUGGAACUGAGACACGGUCCAGACUCCUACGGGAGGCAGCAGUGGGGAAUAUUGCACAAUGGGCGCAAGCCUGAUGCAGCCAUGCCGCGUGUGUGAAGAAGGCCUUCGGGUUGUAAAGCACUUUCAGUCGUGAGGAAGGUAGUGUAGUUAAUAGCUGCAUUAUUUGACGUUAGCGACAGAAGAAGCACCGGCUAACUCCGUGCCAGCAGCCGCGGUAAUACGAGGGUGCGAGCGUUAAUCGGAAUUACUGGGCGUAAAGCGCAUGCAGUGGUUUGUUAAGUCAGAUGUGAAAGCCCGGGCUCACCUCGGAAUUGCAUUUGAAACUGGCAGACUAGAGUACUGUAGAGGGGG
rnacentral:rRNA from 1 species